rnacentral:lncRNA from 1 species
AAAUCGGCAACAGCCCCAAAUCCCAAAAAUCCCUCUUCCAAUUUGGUUACACGCUCUCCAUCCACUUCUUAUCCCUUAAGAUUCUACUAUUAUCUCUCCACAUUAACAACCUCCCCAAAUUCCAAUAUUCUCUCCUCAAAUCUCUCCAAAUAUCCCUCCUCAAUUAUCUUUAUGACUAGUUCAAACUCCAUUUAGCAGUAUUUCAAUCCAACUCUACCACCCACAUGAAUUAGGCAGCAAAAUAAAUACUCCAUUUUUGAUGCUCC